CUAAUGAGACAACCUCAGCCUUGUUUUCACACGAUCGCUUUAUAGCAUAAGCCAGCGCAUCAGGAUCCCUCGCCAUUAGUUUUUCAUAUU